rnacentral:rRNA from 1 species
AAUCAACGCUGGCGGCGUGCCUAACACAUGCAAGUCGCACGAGAAAGCGGGCUUCGGCCUGCGAGUAAAGUGGCGCACGGGUGAGUAACACGUGAAUCAUCUACCUCCGAGUGGGGAAUAACCUAGAGAAAUCUGGGCUAAUACCGCAUAACACUUACGAGUCAAAGCAGCAAUGCGCUUGGAGGGGAGUUCGCGGCAGAUUAGUUAGUUGGCAGGGUAAUGGCCUACCAAGACGAUGAUCUUUAUCCGGCCUGAGAGGGAGCACGGACACACUGCAACUGAACCGCGGUCCAGACUCCUACGGGAGAGAGCAGUGGGGAAUUUUGCGCAAUGGGGGGAACCCUGACGCAGCAACGCCGCGUGGAGGAUGAAAUCCCUUGGGAUGUAAUCUCCUUUCGAUCGGGACGAUUAUGACGGUACCGGAAGAAGAAGCCCCGGCUAACUUCGUGCCAGCAGCAGCCGCAGUAA